UGCCAGCCGCCGCGGUAAGACGAACCGUACGAACGUUAUUCGGAAUUACUGGGCUUAAAGGGUGCGUAGGCUGCACGGAAAGUUGGGUGUGAAAGCCCUCAGCUCAACUGAGGAAUUGCAUCCAAAACUGCCGUGCUUGAGGGAGACAGAGGUGAGCGGAACUCAAGGUGGAGCGGUGAAAUGCGUUGAUAUCUUGAGGAACACCAGUGGCGAAGGCGGCUCACUGGCUCGAUACUGACGCUGAGGUGCGAAAGCGUGGGGAGCAAACAGGAUUAGAUA
rnacentral:rRNA from 1 species